rnacentral:rRNA from 1 species
AGGGUUUGAUCCUGGCUCAGGACGAACGCUGGCGGCGUGCUUGAUACAUGCAAGUCAAGGAGAACAUUGUCUUCGGAUAAUAAGUAAACUGGCGAACGGGUGAGUAACGCGUAAACAACUUGCCUCAGAGAUUGGGACAACAUUGGGAAACCAGUGCUAAUACCAAAUAAUGCAGCGGGCUCUUCGGAGCACAGUUGUUAAAGUAGGCUUCGGCUUACACUUUGAGAUAGGUUUGCGUCCGAUUAGUUAGUUGGUAGGGUAAAAGCCUACCAAGACCAAGAUCGGUAGCUGGUCUGAGAGGAUGAUCAGCCACACUGGAAUUGAGAUACGGUCCAGACUCCUACGGGAGGCAGCAGUAAGGAAUUUUGCACAAUGGGCGAAAGCCUGAUGCAGCAACGCCGCGUGAACGAUGAAGUUUUUAGGAAUGUAAAGUUCUGUCGUAUGGGAAGAGAUCUUUCGAAUGUUAAUACCAUUCGUUAAUGACGGUACCAUACAAGAAAGCACCGGCUAACUUCGUGCCAGCCGCCGCGGUAAUAC